CAGGGACUGGGGACUGUGGUCUGAGCUUCACUGGGUUCUGAGAAGAGCGACCGGACUGGGGAAAACACCCGUAAGAAGUGGUCCUGCCCUCAGGGAGGCAUGUGAGGAAAAGGACAGUUGGGAAACAUGGCUGAUGUCAUCCUGCUCAACCACAGCCCUUCAAAGCAUUAACCUCGUCAAAAACAGGAAGGAAGAGGUGGGGAGACCUGUCCUUCCAAGGAAGAGGAGACCCACCCAGGGAAGGCAAGGAGAAGAGGAGCAGCCAUGGAAGCCGAGAAGACCCACCUGCUGAAGGAACUGGGAACACAGACCUGCCCACCCACAGAGACCUGGGAGGCUACCAACAGGAAGGGAGAGGAGGGGAACAUGCAACCAUCUCAAGAAGGCAAGCUGGGGGACAGGGAGGCUAGGGAAGAUGCCCGGUCCCCCAGACCCGAAGAACAGUCGGCGCCGCUAGCCACGUGGUUGGAAGACGAGCCAAUAACCAUGUUCCCCCCUCCCACUGCUCUUACCCGUCCGUGUGUGUUCCCCCCUCCCACGGCACUCACACCUCACUCUGUCUUUCCCCCUCCCACAGCUCUUUCUGGUCAGUCUGUGUUCCCCCCUCCCACAGCACUCACAUCCCACUCCGUCUUUCCCCCUCCAAAUGCCUUGCUCCUUCACUGUGGUUCCCUGUCCAAUGGCGUUUCUCUUUCAUCUUGCAAUUCCUCCAGUUUCUUUAUCGGCAUUCACCUCUCCAGCCCUUCUCCUUGAGAGAGGGUUAUUUCAUCAGUCAAACUGGCUUGUGCUGCAGCUACUGGGGUGGGCACUAAAGGACUUAAAAGGAGAGCUGAAUUCAACUGCAGCAUUACGUUC